GUACCAAAGGCGCUACGAUGGUCGGAUGAAGGUACAAGACCCACCAUUUCGAAGCUAAGAACCAGGGCUACAACAAUGUAGAAGGUCACUCAGUCCAAAUCCCAGCACAAGUAAGUCAUAUAUGCCAAAUACCAAACCAGAACCGUAAUUGCAGGUUUACAAAUUACACUAUGCUGUAAUCAGUACAACUUAGUCUAAACAGGUCCAAAUGCAGAAAUUCCAAAGGCAUAUGGUAUCUAGGACAUCAAGCUACAUUUCAUCAGAAGACCUCAACACCCAAAUCCAAAAAAAUUCCAGUCAAAACAGACGAUUACAAGCGCAGUUCGCACAUUCUGAUCACCCAGAACAGCAACAGUAAAAUUGACAUAUCUCAUUCUACACUACUCCAAUUGCCCUGAAAUUUUACAGGAAUCUCAAACACAUCAAUACCUACAACUUUAAUGUUUUAAGCAAAGGCCAAUUCGGCCUCUAACCAUAUGAUCCAAAACCGGACAGAAAAGGGGGUUAUGAAACCCUAACUUUUCUCAUUUCAAUCCAAACCCAAAAUUGAUUGCAAUUUCCUAUCAUAUACAUCCACUAGAGUCAUAACCCCUCAUUACCAACCAUCAUAAAUAACCACAACACCAUAAUCACAUUAAACCAGAAAAUUCCUCAAAAAAAUAAAAACUUCACCAAAUCACUUCAAAUCAAGAACUAAAUCACACAUUCCAUCACUCAAGUCACCAUUAGGCACAAAAUAAGCAUCAUUAGCUAUAAGAGGAUGUUCAAUCAUCACUUACCUAGUAAACAAGAGAAGAGGAGUUGUAGACCACCUUAGCUCUUCCAAAAACUUCACCAAACUCACCACUAACACUAAAUGGAAAGAUUGUAUGGAGUGGAAACUAGUUUGUGUGAUUGAUUUUGAUGAUUUGAGCUAGUGGAAAGCUUGAAGAGUGAAGAAGUUUUCUUCCUUCUUGGCAAGAGAGAGGGCCGGCUAUGGAGGAGGUAAGAAAUGGUAAUUUUUGUGCAAUUUUUAAGAUAUUUAACCAUUUUGGUCAAAAGUCAAAAACAUGAAUAGUAAAUCAUAAAGUAUAACCAAUAAGAGAGUGACACUUGUCACCUCUUAAAUGCAUUCUUAUCUUUCUUUUUCCUCUCACAUCAAUCAAAUUUCACUCUCUACUUAUCUCUUAACACCCGAUAAAUUUCACACAGUAUCCGAAACUUAACCUUAUUGGCCAAAUUUUUCCGAACUUUUCGCACUAGUGGGUCCCACGUCCGAUAUACGUUCUUAUUUUCUCAAAAUCUAACCGAUACUAGAAAAAUAAUCUAAAAACUAUUUUUGCUCAUAAACUUUAUCUGGGAAAUUUUUCUAAUAAAGAAAAUGAAGAAAAGGCGGGCGAUUAAAUAAAAUAAACCCUAGAAAAUUAGAAAAUUUUCGGGUUCUCAAACUCUUUUUUUUCGGGGCGUCAUAAUCUCCCCUCCUUAAAAGAAUGUCGUCCUCGACAUUCUAUCUUGUACCAAUCAAGUCAAGACAUCCCGCAAAAAUCUCUCAAGAGUCAAAUCAAACCCACAGUCCGGCAUCCUAAACUUCAAGCCUAGGAUACACUACAGAGAUCUGAAGCCUAAGCUCUGAUACCAAUUGUCACGGCCCCACCUCCCCCUAAGGCGAACCAGAGGGUUCGGCGGGCCGCCUGCCCAGCUCUCGCCGGGACUCAGUCGUUCACUACAAUCCUCAAUGGAAUUUCAAGAUAUUUAUAUCAAAUAUACAUCAAAGGUUCCCAAAACUUUACAUAUCAAAAGCGAAGCGUCCACGCUUCCACUGCGCCACUCUGAUCCUUGAUACCAACUAUUAUACAGGAGGAAGUCCAAAACUAGACUAUUACACAUCCAAGCAAUUCUAAACGUUCAAUACAAUCCCAAUAUGAAUGAUUACACAAAAGAAAAUCCAAAUUCAGUCCAUACAUGAGAUAAUCCAUGAAUAAACACUACAAGCCACUCCUUCGCCUUGAGCCCUGUGGAGGGGAAUAAAAUAUUUUGGGGUGAGCUAGAAGCUCAGCGAGUAACCAGUAAAAUCAGUAAUCAAAUCUGUUUAACAAUAGUUCAUUUCAAUGAUGUCAUUUCAAUAUGGAGUAUCAAUAAUUCACGAAACAUUUACAAUGGAAAGCGAUAGUAACAUUCAUGAAAAGGAUACGUUCGUUCUCCUGUCAUUUCAUUGCAUUUGGUUUCAUUCGUGCAUUCAUUCACCCGUCCCUGGCUUUUGGCCAGGCUCCACCAACCUACAAGGUAAUACUCGAGUAUACCGAAACGUUCACCCAAGGUCCUAGUCGCCCGACCGAGUCCGUUUCUGGCUCGAGACGACCGGUAACAAGGGGCAAUGGCCAGUUCAGCCUAAAAGGCUUACAUUCAUGCGCAAGUAGCAUUCAAUUAUUAAUCAUUGAAAAUUUCAUAUUUAUUUAGGUCGAGUGCGAUAAAGUACACACUCGCCUAGAAAACUCGUUUUAACAAUCAUUGAAAGAAAAAUCAAUAAUAACAAGACACUGAUAUGCAAGCACGCAUGAUAUGUAAGAAAACAGUUCCAAAAGUAACUUUGAAAACAGUUCAAAAGUAAAUAAUGCAAGAAACGGUUCAUAAAUAAUUUUAGAAAUAGUUUGAGGUCACUCACCUCCAUGGCUCAGAAAUCAUCCAUUAAAUAUCAUUGCCUUGCUCAAAUCCAAGUCUUAAAUCACAAACUCAAUGCAAACAAGUUCCUUCAAAGUUUGGACAGCACUUCCCCUGAAUUUGCUUACUUUUCCAGCCAUCAUGGCUUCAUUAUAUCCUCAACCAGUCCCAAAGGUACACACACAACAACAAGUUCAUCCAAAGCCAUUCAGAAAGCUCCAAGUAGUACUAGUACAAGUCAAGCUAGGGAAAAGUCCGGAAAUGAAAGUUAAGUUCAAAACCAGAAAAACAGUUUUGACGUCAUUUUGCGGUAAUGGUACCAAAGGCGCUACGAUGGUCGGAUGAAGGUACAAGACCCACCAUUUCGAAGCUAAGAACCAGGGCUACAACAAUGUAGAAGGUCAUUCAGUCCAAAUCCCAGCACAACUAAGUCAUAUAUGCCAAAUACCAAACCAGAACCGUAAUUGCAGGUUUACAAAUUACACUAUGCUGUAAUCAGUACAACUCAGUCUAAACAGGUCCAAAUGCAGAAAUUCCAAAGGAAUAUGGUAUCUAGGACAUCAAGCUACAUUUCAUCAGAAGACCUCAACACCCAAAUCCAAAACAAUUCCAGUCAAAACAGACGAUUACAAGCGCAGUUCGCACAUUCUGAUCACCCAGAACAGCAACAGUAAAAUCGACAUAUCUCAUUCUACACUACUCCAAUUUCCCUGAAAUUUUACAGGAAUCUCAAACACAUCAAUACCUACAACUUUAAUGUUUUAAGCAAAGGCCAAUUCGGCCUCUAACCAUAUGAUCCAAAACCGGACAGAAAAGGGGGUUAUGAAACCCUAACUUUUCUCAUUUCAAUCCAAACCCAAAAUUGAUUGCAAUUUCCUAUCAUAUACAUCCACUAGAGUCAUAACCCCUCAUUACCAACCAUCAUAAAUAACCACAACACCAUAAUCACAUCAAACCAGAAAAUUCCUCAAAAAAAUAAAAACUUCACCAAAUCACUUCAAAUCAAGAACUAAAUCACACAUUCCAUCACUCAAGUCACCAUUAGGCACAAAAUAAGCAUCAUUAGCUAUAAGAGGAUGUUCAAUCAUCACUUACCUAGUAAACAAGAGAAGAGGAGUUGUAGACCACCUUAGCUCUUCCAAAAACUUCACCAAACUCACCACUAACACUAAAUGGAAAGAUUGUAUGGAGUGGAAACUAGUUUGUAUGAUUGAUUUGGAUGAUUUGAGCUAGUGGAAAGCUUGAAGAGUGAAGAAGUUUUCUUCCUUCUUGGCAAGAGAGAGGGCCGGCUAUGGAGGAGGUAAGAAAUGGUAAUUUUUGUGCAAUUUUUAAGAUAUUUAACCAUUUUGGUCAAAAGUCAAAAACAUGAAUAGUAAAUCAUAAAGUAUAACCAAUAAGAGAGUGACACUUGUCACCUCUUAAAUGCAUUCUUAUCUUUCUUUUUCCUCUCACAUCAAUCAAAUUUCACUCUCUACUUAUCUCUUAACACCCGAUAAAUUUCACACAGUAUCCGAAACUUAACCUUAUUG
rnacentral:lncRNA from 1 species